UACGCAAGCAGAAUCAGCUG
rnacentral:misc_RNA from 1 species